AGAGAUAGUCUGGGUCAGUCUUACUUAGGUGUCGCCAAGUUUUAACCACAUUCUCUCUCUUUGCAUCAGAAGUCCAAUGUGGGAGGGAAAACGAUGCCUAUGCAUCUCUGGAGGAAGACAUAGGUGCUGUGAUGCCAACGAAUGCCGUUACCCACAGGGCCGGGAACAGGCAGAGGAAGUGGGGCCCUGGCAGCUGCUCCUCUGCAGCUCCUGUGCUGCACAAGGAACACAUCGGCGCUGCUCCAACGUGAGUCAGGGCACAAUGAGCUGGGAGUGCGACAGCUGUGCUGGAGAGGGCACCGCCCCCAGCACCAACUUGGACACGCUGGCCCCAAACUCCAC